GUUGGGGUGGCAGAGCCCGGAUAUAUUGCAAAAGGCCUAAGCCCUUUAAACAGAGGUUCAAGUCCUCUCCCUAACU
rnacentral:tRNA from 1 species